rnacentral:lncRNA from 1 species
CCAUAUUUAUUAAUUAUUAAUUAAUACUAAUCUUUAUAUUAUAUUUUUAAUAGUGUACUAUUAAUGAAAGUAGUUCAUAGCUAAUAGCCCAUAUUAAAACUCCCAACUAGUCUAUGUGGGCCAACUUGUAAGGUUGCUGACCUCUCGUGGGCUCAAAGAUGGAGCCCAAGUAUUCACGGAAGCCAAUCUUCAUAAUUCAAAGCUACUAAUAAACCUCACCUGGGUCACAACUCACAAGCUCAAACACAUUCAAGGAUUACCACAGUAAACGGAUUACCUCAAAUGUCCAGGAAAAGAGAGUUGGACCAAAUAAAGAGGGAUGAAGCUCCAGCAACUUAUCACAGCAAAAUCGCCCUUAUUGAACCCAGAAAAAGACAAAUUGUGUUUGUCUUCUUUAGAAGCAGCAUUUUCAAUUAAAAGGUGGUCAAUUCGCGCAGCACGGAAGGUGGAACUCUUGGAACAAAUUGUUCUUCCAUGACUAAAUCAGAAAUUGGUGGAGUGAAAUCCAGGAAGCGCAAAUUGGCACCGUUAAGGCUUAUUUAUUGGACAAACGUGCAGCCUAGAACUGAUAUUUUACCUUUGUUGAAGCCCAUAACGGGCGUUUGAUGUUAAAGCUCCGAAAUGGCGUUCCAACGCCGAAGAUGGGGAAGUUAAUCGGAAGGGGUGAGGAGAUGGGUUGUGAGAGCGGAGGAAGUCGGAAGUAUGCCUGACCCAAUUCAAAAAUAAGACAACUGUUAUAAAUAGAACUCUAUUUAAGGUGAAUGUAGUUUUACUUUGAGGCUAAGUCUUUUCUAUGCCUAUAAAUAGAGGGGUCUUACCCUAUUGUAA